AACGAACGCUGGCGGCAGGCCUAACACAUGCAAGUCGAACGCCCCGCAAGGGGAGUGGCAGACGGGUGAGUAACGCGUGGGAACCUUCCCAGUGGUACGGAAUAACUGACCGAAAGGUUGGCUAAUACCGUAUACGCCCGAAAGGGGAAAGAUUUAUCGCCAUUGGAUGGGCCCGCGUCGGAUUAGCUAGUUGGUGAGGUAAUGGCUCACCAAGGCGACGAUCCGUAGCUGGUCUGAGAGGAUGAUCAGCCACACUGGGACUGAGACACGGCCCAGACUCCUACGGGAGGCAGCAGUGGGGAAUAUUGGACAAUGGGCGCAAGCCUGAUCCAGCCAUGCCGCGUGAGUGAUGAAGGUCUUCGGAUUGUAAAACUCUUUCGCCGGGGAAGAUAAUGACGGUACCCGGAGAAGAAGCUCCGGCUAACUUCGUGCCAGCAGCCGCUGUAG
rnacentral:rRNA from 1 species